UGCUACUUGAUACUCCGAUAUGCCGAAGGCUGGAUGAAAAGAAUGCAUUAGUGGGCUAUACCCAAUAUAUAUUGAGCUCCAUGCUGAUAACAUGUAAAUUGAAAUGGAAUUUCUUCAAAGAAUAAAACACAACAAUGAGCCACACUUGAUAGUUCUUCAAUACAGACGCAUUUUGCCGGAAAACGAAUCUGACUUCAAACCACGAAAUUUUAACAGGAAAGAGACAAUUUGAUGAGCUUUCAUUCAAGAGGUCCCUGGUUGCUGAACGAAAAUUAGGGCUGGAGCUAUGAACCAUAACGUUAACAUUACCGCCUAUGGAAAAUGCAUUAGUGGACUAUACCCAUCUAUCUCUAAAUUUGGUUCUUUAGAAAACAUCACUGCUUUGAGAUAUAGGAAUAACGUGAAUUCUAAGGCGAACUGUACGCGCAUGAUUUUCGUGCAUGUUGGCACAACCGACUGAACACAUUGGCCAGGCACAGGGGUGUACGUCUCUUUCUACAAGUUGGUGCUCAGUUGCGACAGGAAGCAGAGGUGGUUGUUGUUGCUGUGCGAUCUGCGGACUUGGAGAGGGAGACUAACCGGAUAUACACUGCCCUAGAGAAAAGUAUCCAGAAAACCUGGGAUGAGUACAUGGAAGAAGCUUAGACCACCAGUCACUUUCUGCCAGCGAUAUCGUCCUGUUGCAGCCCGUCCGUCAACACCGAGUGAUCGAACUGUUUUAAUAUAUAAUGCGAUGUGAUGACUGACUUUUGAAAUGUGUUGAUCAGUGUGUUGAACAGUGAUUAUUUUAGUUAUAUGUGUAUUCUAUAGUGCUUGCUGUAUUUAUUUAUAUUUACAUCUAUACACUGUCCGGAGUUUUUGCUUCCACCACUUCUUGCUUGAUAUUUCAAUAAUAGUAAAUACGUUCAUCCACUAAUAUGAAAAAUGUCCAGAUUAUCUGUUUUGAAACGCCCCCUCUACCGCUUCAGGUUUCAAUACACAUCCAAAAAUUGAAAGUCUACCGGAGAUUUUGCAUUGCAUCAGCCAUUAAUAAGCCCGGAUAAUAAUGUUAAAAAAUUGCGCGAUGUAUUCCGAGUGUAUUCCGAAUGGAGAAAAGAUGUAAACAUUUCCCAUUACAAAUCUCCGUAAGAAAAUUGUUUUGAAAAUUUGAUGAGUUUAAAGGGAUAUAAUUGUUUAAUGAAGAUGUCUUGGAUAUAUUCCCUUUCAGAGAUUUCAAUUGUAUUUCUUUCACAGGUAGUGUAUUUUUAUUAGAAAUCAUCGCCCUGUUUAUCGAUUGGUCAAAACCUACAGUGACCUAAGAAAUAUCACGGACUGCACAAAAUAAUCAUGAUGAUGUCAGACUCAAAGUCUCACAGGAGACGAUUUGGCUGUUUCUUCUAGCUAACGUGCUUAUGUACAUAAAUAAUAAUUUAGUAAAUUUUACUUGCUUUCGUAAUCAAUUUAUUAAAGUUAAAAGAAAGAUGUUAAUAUAAAUAAUAAAAUGCUUUUUUUGGUGAUUCAUGCAAGUUAUGAAGGUAGCGAUAAUUGCAGAAAAAUGUUUGUAGUGUAUGUUUGAUGUUCAUUCAUGAUUAUAAAGCCAACUAUUGAAUAAA